GACGAACGCUGGCGGCGUGCUUAACACAUGCAAGUCGAACGGAAAGGCUCCAGCUUGCUGGAGUACUCGAGUGGCGAACGGGUGAGUAACACGUGGGUGAUCUGCCCUGCACUUCGGGAUAAGCCUGGGAAACUGGGUCUAAUACCGGAUAGGACCGCACUUUGGUGUGUGUGGUGGAAAGGUUUUUCUGGUGUGGGAUGAGCUCGCGGCCUAUCAGUUUGUUGGUGGGGUAAUGGCCUACCAAGACGGCGACGGGUAGCCGGCCUGAGAGGGUGGACGGUCACAUUGGGACUGAGAUACGGCCCAGACUCCGACGGGAGGCAGCAGUGGGGAAUAUUGCACAAUGGGGGAAACCCGGAUGCAGCGACGCCGCGUGGGGGAUGAAGGCCUUCGGGUUGGAAACUCCUUUCGCUAGGGACGAAGCUUUUUGUGACGGUACCUGGAGAAGAAGCACCGGCUAACUACGUG
rnacentral:rRNA from 1 species